rnacentral:snRNA from 1 species
AUAUUAAAGGUUUAUCCUUUAAAACACGUAUAUAUUCGUUACCAUUUUUGGUAAUUAACCAUGUAAUCUUAUAACUAUAAGUGGCGUCUGUAUUUUAUACAGGCGUCUUUUU